GAGAAUAUUCACCUCAAAUUGGCAUCUACUACACUCCCUGCCCCUGUCCCCCCAUUCCCAGUCACCACGAAUCAGGAUAUAGCUGAGUGAAAAGGUGGCAUGGCUGAAACAUUUAUCAGGCAAUUGAAAACUAGUAUAGAGUACAAUAGUCCUGAGAACAUCGCUUAAUUCUGAGCACUGUGUUUGCAACGUGAUGCAGGAUGGGCCUGUUGCCAUGGCACCAUUGGCACCAUUGUAAACUCAGUACUGACCUCAAGCCCCCACCCAUAGCAAAACGCCCUUGGACCUUUUCUGGAUCCCACCAAAAAAUAUUAAAAUCUGCUGCCCCAGUGCUACUUUCUUUCUACAGGAGACAUGAUACAGUGAAAUAAUUUCCCUACAUUCCAUCAACCUCUGCAUCACACAUUUUCAGUAUUUAAAAGACUCUCUCAUAUUUAUUUGUCUAUGUGAAGUCUCACAACAGUUCACAAAUUUUAGAAUUGCCUUUUGCUGCAUUUAUCUUGCCUGUGAACUCAGCUCUUACAGUCCUAUUUUCACACGUCAUUGCUUGUGUAUAGAAACUGAUUCACAAAUAUUCAGUAAGUUUAUUAUAUGGUGUCAUCUUAGAACCUUCCCAAGUGCAAAAAUCUUCUGCAACAAUGAAGGCUUGGGCUGAUGACCAGUGGCUGCAGAACUUUUGGAUGGUCCACAUUUCUGCAUCUUUGUGCAAAACUCACCAAAAUAAAAGCUGCACUGACAGUGGAGAAGAAAAAACAACUGUACUACGGGGAUCUGCAACACCAGAUUAUUAUUGGUCAAUCACUGCUCUCUCUCCUAAACUAAGAUGGAAUGGAUUUCUUUAAUAUUCAAGACUGUGAGCUAAGAUCAUCAGUGAAGACUCAGGAGUUCAAGCUUCCUGGAGUGGAUUCUUCAGAUUUCCAGACAACGAUUUUCUCCAAAAAAGUUGCACCAAGCAAAAAAUUACCUCAAUACACAUAAUGGCAAGGAAAUCUUUUGAAGAAAAAAUUGCAAAUGUUUUGGCAUACAUAAGGAGUAGCACAUAUCCUGAAGGAAUGAAUAAAGUAGGCAGACUGAACCUGCGUCGAUAUGCUGUCAACUUUUCAUUGGAAGAGGGGAGAUUGUUCCAUUCAGCAAAAGGAAGAAAGGUUGUCGUUGUGCAUACCAUGAAAGAAGCCCUGCAACUCUUUAAAAGGUAUCAUGACAGUCCAGAGGGUGGACAUCUAGGAAUAUUCAAAACCAGGAAUGCGCUGACAUCAAAAUACUAUUGGCCAGGGAUGACGGAAGACAUUGCCAAUUGGGUUGCACAGUGUCUGACUUGCCAGAAAGAGGGAAAGCAAUCAAAUCUGGAUACCACCUUGAAAAGCAUAGAGGUCACUCGGAUCUGGGAAUUGGUGGGAAUGGAUUUAAUAGGACCAUUACCAGUAACAAAGGAUGGAUACCAGUAUAUACUUACAGCCAUAGAUUAUCUUUCAAGAUGGGUGGAAGCCUUUCCACUUAGAAAUAAGUCGUCAAUUGAGGUGGUACAGAUCAUGUUCAGCAUGAUACUUUGAUGUGGAUGCCCACAGCGGAUACUGACAGAUCGUGGUGCAGAAUUCAAUAAUAAGCUUAACUUGUAUGUUUGUAAUAAAUUGGGAAUAGAAUGUAGCUUCACCAGUCCGUACCACCCACAAACCAAUGGCUUGACUGAAAACGCUAAUAAAUCCAUGAAAAGAGCACUGCGGAAGAUGGUUGAUAACAAUGGGAGUAAUUGGGAUAAAUUACUUGAACCCAUUUUGUUUUCUUUGCGAACUAAAAUACAUGCAACAACAAAAUUUUCACCUUUCCGACUAAUGUUUUGUGAUGAUGCAGUGUUUCCUGAAGAUGUCUUAGAUAAUUACACGAUCCCAGAUCUGGAUAUGUUCGGGGAAGAUUUCUGCAAAGAGUACAGCAUGAAUAUGAAAUCGAGACAUGACGCUGACAUUGCGCUGGCCCUAAGUAACAUUGCUAAAGCACAAGAAAAACAACGAAGACAUUAUGCUAAAAGAAAGACUUCUAAAUAUGGGGAAAUAACAUUUGAAGUUGGGGACUCUGUUCUGUUACUGAAUGCUAGACAGAGAACAAGAAAAGGAGGAGUACUGGAAUCUAAAUAUCGGGGACCAUACAAAAUUAUGAGUGUUGAAGGUAAGAGAGUGAAAUUGCAAACCAUCUCAGGGAAACAGUUAGGAACCAUGUACAGUAUUGCACACUUAAAACCAGUAAAAGAACCAACAACAUUAGCUGCUGAAAGCACAUCAGAGGGAAAAACUGGAACUGAAAUUGGAGUUGGUGACACUGAACCAGAAACACCCACGGAAGAGAUUAGAGAAGUGGAUGGCACCGUAUCUCUUGACAGCAAAGUGGAAAACAUAGAGGUCACAGCAAUAGAAAAAGAGGAAUAUAUAGGGCAAGAUGUGUCAAACAAUGAUACAAGUGAUGCUGAUGACAGCUUUGAUGAUAUGCUUACAGAGGAAGUGGAAGACAAGCAAUGGCUUCUGAAAGUAAAAUUGGUAAUGACCAGCAAACACACAGAGAGACUGGAGGCGAAAGUGAGAAACAUAAAAUUGUAUGGCUCUUCAUUUCAUUGCCUGAAACCGAGAAGCUGGAUAAGUGAUGAGGUACAAGCCAUCUCAUCAGUAGUUUCCACUGUCAUUCUCUCAGGCAGAGCUACACAAGUGAAAGUGAAGAGUGAAUUACUUCAAAAUGAUAUAUUAUUGCUUCCUUACCACACACCAGGUCAUUGGGUUCUUGCGAUAGCCUUGAUGAAAAAAAAAGGAAUUGUUAAUAAUUGACCCAUUGUGUGAUGAGAUCAGAUAUGAAAGAACAUGCCUGAGGAAUUGGAGGUGAUUUAUUAGAUACUUACUUUCACAGUGGACACUAACUGUUCCAUUGAAAUUGUUUUUAAAGGGAAUGUUACAAUAAUGAGAAUAAUGUCUUCCUAUUAGCUACAAAUAAACAUUGAAACAGCAUAUACUUGUACUGAAUGUACUUAAUAAUGGACUUUGAGUGAACUUGUGUGAUGUGACUCUGGGGAACGACUUCACAGAAUGUGGACACACACGAAACAGUAGCAUGUUGCAUGAUUGAGAAUGUGUUAUUAUCAACAUGGGGCACAGCAACUCAGGUGACACACUGUAAACUUCAUCAAACGAUUAACUAGUAAAUCCUCAUCUGAUUGGAACAGUAAAAUUAUGCAGCAUCCCAGACAAAGUGAUGGCCACAACUGUGGACCACUCAUCUUAAAGUUUGCAGAAACAUAUUUGCAGCACAAAGACAUCAGUAUGGUGGAAACAACACAGAAGGCUAAUACUGCGUUUAGAAGACAUAUAGCAAUUCUUCUAAUGAAGGAGUCAGAAAACGUGGAGGACUACUGCAUAUACUGCAACCUUAUCGACUGUGAAAAAGAAAGUGAGGAUUGCACGAUGGUCCAGUGUGAUUCUUGCAAGAGGUGGGCACACAUACCAUGCAUUACAGAAGGAAUCAACCAAGAAAACCUGACAUAUGAGAAGAAAGAGUACAACUGCAAGACAUGUGCAUAGUUCACUUCAUUAACAAAAAGAAAAAAGGCAAUAAAGAAAACCCAUUGUUUAACUGCCUCUUGUUCAAAACAUAAUGCAACCCAAAGAAAUAUAUUUCUAUGUAUACAUCAGAUUAUAUUAAAUGUUCUUGAUGUUAAAUAAAUUAUUCUCUGUAUUUCUGUCCAUAUAUAUAAUGCAAACUAUAAAAUUUUAAAAGUAAUUUAAAAAAAUGAAAGUGGUGUCAUCAUAGGAGUGCUCCAUACCCCGAAACCUAACCUCCCUUUUCAUGUAUUCAUACACAAGAAAGCAAAAGAGCGUGCCUCGAUCACCCAAUAGGUCAAUUUGGCCCAUUAGCCAGGAGGAAGCAGAUCGUGAGUGUUUUCGA